rnacentral:rRNA from 1 species
UAGGUAAUCUUCCGCAAUGGGCGAAAGCCUGACGGAGCAACGCCGCGUGAGUGAUGAAGGUCUUCGGAUCGUAAAACUCUGUUAUUAGGGAAGAACAAAUGUGUAAGUAACUAUGCACGUCUUGACGGUACCUAAUCAGAAAGCCACGGCUAACUACGUGCCAGCAGCCGCGGUAAUACGUAGGUGGCAAGCGUUAUCCGGAAUUAUUGGGCGUAAAGCGCGCGUAGGCGGUUUUUUAAGUCUGAUGUGAAAGCCCGCGGCUCAACCGUGGAGGGUCAUUGGAAACUGGAAAACUUGAGUGCAGAAGAGGAAAGUGAAAUUCCAUGUGUAGCGGUGAAAUGCGCAGAGAUAUGGAGGAACACCAGUGGCGAAGGCGACUUUCUGGUCUGUAACUGACGCUGAUGUGCGAAAGCGUGGGGAUCAAACAGG